rnacentral:lncRNA from 1 species
AGCUGGUCAGCUGUAGACUGCAGGAAGCAGAGGCACUAACUGAACUCAAAGUGCUAAAACAACACAUUAAAGACCUAGAGGAGAAAUGGCAGAACAAAAUUUACAGUAACCAGCUAAAACCAAUUGAAGCACACAUAAACAGCCAGCAAGAUCAUCUACAGGAGCUGACAUCUCAGAACCAAGAUCUGUGCAGCCAGUUACAACAGAGCAGACGGCAGUUUUCAACUGUUCAAUACAAGCGAAAAGAAAAGCAGGACAAAGAAGCAGCAAACUUGACCAUAAUUGCAGUUCUUCAAAAGCAGAUCACAGAGUUACAAAUUCAAAUUCAAAGCCUCUCCAAACAUACUAUGUUUUCUCAACCCACAUCGAGGCCUUCCACAUCCACCUCUCUGAAGCACAAUGACACCUAAAAAUGGACAGCUGCCCUAACGUCCCGUCAUCCUGUCUCCAGAAGCACGCCAUUCGGUGAGACACUGAAGAUGUUCUAUUAAGAGCGCUACCCACAGCUGCAGUCUCCACUAUGAGAGAGUCUUCACAGCCCCAGCUUUUAAACAUGCUGCAACACUUUGAGUGUCAUGAGCAGAGACACACUGUGACAGUUUUGCCAUUAACACUUGAAAGUGACAGCAAGAUUUCUCAUUCUUACCAACAAAAAAAAAGUUGUUAAAUGUCUUAGAUCUAACAUUCAAGUAAACAUCACAAAGCACUUAGUACUGUCACGCUGUAAAAGAGGUUUUAGUCAUGGUCAGCCGCAAGUAUCUUAAUGCUGGAUACCUGUACUGAAAAUCCGGCUGAUUGAACAACAGUGAUUUCAGACAAAUUAAUCUCUUUUUGACCCAGUGUCACUGGAAUUUAUAAUGUUUUAGCCUCCAGG